CCAUAUGAUCUAUUUUGAGCUUUAUUAAGGUGGCAUCCAACACCUAUGGGCAAGAGCAAAGGUAUAAGAAGAGGGGAACGUGAUUAAAAGGGGAGAUUAGAGUGGAACGAGUCAUUGAAGUGGGAGGUGGGUGAUUAGAGGAGAACAAGUGAAUGAUGGAGAGAUUAGAAGGGAACAAGUGAUGAAUGGGAGAGGAAAGUGGAGAAC